AAUGUCAGGCUCGGUCCUGUCAGCCCCGUGCACGGCAGGUGCUCUCCCAGUGCACUGCCCUCGGCACUGGCCGGGGACUCAGGAGUGUGUGGCUGACCGUUUGAUUUUCCCGGGUUCCUGCGCCUGCGGUAGGUUUUGGGAUCCUGGGAGACGCGGAGCUGAAGAGACUCUGGCAGAAGGGGGUCUAGCAUCCGGGCUGUGUUGGACCAGAGAGGUCCGUGCAACCAAACGUAGCAGGUUUCAGAGCAAUCCCUCAUUGACGGAGGUAUUUCUCCAGGACAAGAGGCUGCCCUUUAUGUUCUGGUGAUUCCACGGAGCCACCUGCUGAUCCUUGGGAAUUACAGAAGCUGCAGACAAUGGUGACAUGCCACUGACACACUGUUCCAGGUGGGAGGAGAACAAUGUGGUGACAUGAUGCAGUAACAGGCACGUACCGGUUUCUAGGGUCUCUGUUUCUUGAGUUUCAGGAAGGAGUUCUGGGAUGUAAUUCCUGGCCUGAGUGCUCCGACUCUUUGCUAUUUGAGGCUACUUUGUCCU